GUCCUCUUGUUUAUAUAUGAGGUCAGACCUGCCCGGUGAAUUUUAUUUUAACGGCCGCGGUAUUUUGACCGUGCAAAGGUAGCAUAAUCAUUAGUCUUUUAAUAGGAGGCUGGAAUGAAGGGUUUGACGAGGUGUUGACUGUCUCAUUUAAUUUGAAAUUAAAAUUUAACUUUUCAGUUAAAAGGCUGAAAUUAUAUUGGAAGACGAGAAGACCCUAUAGAGCUUCAUAGUUACAGUUUUAAUUAAUUAUUGUUUAAUCAUUAUUUUUUAUAAUUAUACCUAUUUUGUUGGGGUGACAAAAAUAUAAAAGUAACUUUUUUAUUUAGUGUUCAUUGAUUUAUGAACUUUAGAUCCAAUUUUAUUGAUUGUUAGAAUAAGUUACCUUAGGGAUAACAGCGUAAUCUUCCUUCAGAGUUCAUAUUUACAGGAAGGAUUGCGACCUCGAUGUUGGAUUAAGAUAAUAAUUAGGUGUAGCCGCUUAAUUUAUAGGUCUGUUCGACCUUUAAACUCUU
rnacentral:rRNA from 1 species